rnacentral:ncRNA from 2 species
AUAUCCUAAAUGGGCAUUGAACUGCCACCUGUAUGUGGUCACCUGGGUGGCAGGGAGUCAGUGGUGAAACCGACUGAAAA